UCUUCUCUCUCUGUGCACAGGAAAAACAAAAAAAGAAAGAAAAGAAUAGAGUAAAACAAAGAGAAGCAGAGUUCACUCGCUCGCUCUCUCUUUCCGUCCACUUAAUUUUAUUGCUCUCGACGCAUCUAAUAAUCGUUGAUUAAUUUGUCACAUUUGCAGCCCUGCAGUCUAUUGAUCCAAUGAAAACAUUACCUAUCAAUUCAUUAAUCGAAUGCGGAGUUUCUUUAAUUUCCUGAAAGAGCUCGUUUCGUGGUCUCGAAACCAACUCCAUUGAAGGGAUCGAAAUUGGGUUUGAGUUGUGGCCGAGUAAAGCAGUAUGGACUCAGGCAUGUUAGAGUUUCGGAAGCGUAGAGACGAGUUCCAGGUUUUCGACAAUUACCCAUUUGGUUAGCGUACUGGGAACAUAUCACAAGGCUGCAUAGAGAACUCUGACCCUUAACUAGCUUUGUUGGUUGUUGAGUUGGUUGUGACUAUUGUGAGGUGUCUUUUAGGGAGUAAGACUUAAGGAUGCUAAUGCAUAUCGAAGGAUACUUAAAUUGGUGGAAAAUGUUAGACCAUGGUUGAGGUAUGAGUUCAGCCUACAGUUUUUGUUUUUGGUGAAAGUUGAGUCUACGGUUGUAUCUACCGAUUUGUGAAGUAUUUUAUUUAUUCAGGUUAUGCUUAGCUGUUAUAAUUAUAAAUAGUUCCUUCAAUUUUUUAAAUUCUGUGCAGCAGCCAUGUGUGUUGUAUUCUGAGAUUGAAAACUUUACUCAUACAUCAACAAUAUUUUUUUUCACCUUACGAAAAUGAAUUAUUAACAAAUUUCCAUGUGCAAUGGAUAUUUUAAGGUCCUAGAUGACAAGCUAUUUGAGAAGUUUCAUGGGCUGCCUGUGGCCUGCCUGAACAGAUGUGCAUUGUUCAUGGUUGGGGUGUAAACAUGUUUUGUUGGAGAUAUGGUACACGUUUUCAUCAUCAUUACCUUUAAAUCCAUAUACCUAUAUGCUUGUUUGUUGGUGUAUGAGUGAAAUUUACUUUGAAUGAAUAUUAAUUAGACAUUUUUGAAGUAUGGCUAUUGGCUACUAUUUAGAGUAUGUAUACUUUGGCUUUAAUUUAUCUUCCAUGAAAUGCAUUCAUUACUCGGAAGAUAACAUAUGCUUAGUGUUUAGCAGGUUGCUAUCCAGUACUCCAUAAAUGACAUUUUAGAUCUUGUAUUUUAUUGUGCUAAUAAAUGCCGAACUAUAAAUAUUGAUAUAUGUACAGUUGUCGCAUAACAUCUAAAUGAAGCUGCAAGUGAUUAAUUUCCUUCAGUCACAACUACUUUUUUGGCUGGAAUCGCUCAAGCAAGUACUUGGGAUUCUCAGACAGGCCUUCCUUACAGACUCACUGAGACCUCACACUUUGACCCCCUUGACUGGGCCAAACAGGGGUCAUCGAAGGUGACAGCACCCACUAACCAAUUUGCUCUUCACCUACUCGUUUCUUCUCAUGGCCUUUACUGACCAAUUUGCUCUUCACCAAGUCCAGAUGAUCCAUUCUCACAUUGAGAAAUUUGGCCUCUACACCGAUAAUCUUCAUCCCCAAUUCGUUGAUUGAUGCCUGCUUCAAGUGCGGGGCCUUUGGUGUGGAUGCCAUGAAGAAUUUGUUUACGGCAACGGAAGACAGAGAUGUCGUUUCUGGGAAUUCGAUGAUUGUGGGCUGGUAAAAUCAGGUGAUAUGUGUGAAUUCACCAGGUUUUUGACGAAAUGCCGGAGAAAGAGGCUGUCAGUUGGAUCAGUCAUUGAUGAGAAUGUCAAGGUUGGAAAAAUGAAUACAACGCUCAAAUUGUUUGAGAUCAUGCCUGAAAGAAAUGUGGUCUCUUGGUCCACCAUGAUAUGGUUAUAGCAAAGCUAAGGACUGGGACAGGGACAUGGACAUGGCCAGGCUAUUGCUUGAUAACUUGCCAGUCAAGAGUUUGUUUCCCGAACUGUCAUGAUAUCGAGGUACGCUCAAAAAGAACUUGCUAAGAAGCAUCGAACUUGCACAAUGAAAUGGAGAAUGCCGAAUUGAAGCCCGACAAUGGCACUUUAGUUUGUAUCUUAGCUAUUUGUGCUGAAUUUGGUUUGUAUAGUUUGGAUAAGAGGGUUCACAUCUCUAUUGAGAGGAAUAGACUGGUAUGUACUAUUAUUCAAGUGUUCAAUGCCUUGGUUGAUAUGUA